GGAGGCAUAGCUCAGCUGGUCAGAGCGUACGGUUCACAUCCGUGAGGUCCUGGGUUCGAUCCCCCGUGUCUCCACCA
rnacentral:tRNA from 1 species